CAUUUAUUCCCACUGACCAAGAACUGUAUCCAGAAAGAGAGAGAGGCAUGCCAAAUCUAAUGGAUUCCACUUUUCGCUGUGUAAAUAAGACAGCGUCGUGCCCAGAGUUCCUCUCCUCCAGAGAAAUAUCCGAGAAAUAAUAGGGAAGAUGGUGAAGGAGUAAGACGUGGAGAUCACCUUCCUCCCCACAAAUACAUCAAAAAUACAUCUACAUGUGGAACAACUCCUACAGAACACCUACUGAAUGCUGGCAGAAGACCUCAGACUUCCCAAAA